rnacentral:rRNA from 1 species
GACGAACGCUGGCGGCGUGCUUAACACAUGCAAGUCGAACGAAGUCGCGAAAGGGUGUGUAACGUGUAAUCAACCCGCCCUUCAGAGGGGGACAACAGUUGGAAAUGACUGCUAAUACCGCAUACUGAAGGUGGGGAUUGCGUCUGAUUAGCUAGUUGGCGGGGUAACGGCCCACCAGGGCGAUGAUCAGUAGCCGGUCGGAGAUGAUGAACGGCCACAUUGGGACUGAGACACGGGCCAGACUCCUACGGGAGGCAGCAGUGGGGAAUCUUCCGCAAUGGGCGAAAGUCUGGCGGAGCAACGCCGCGUGAGGGAUGACGGCCUUCGGGUUGUAAAGCUCUGUUAAUCGGGACGCGGUACCGGAAUAGAAAGCCACGGCUAACUACGUGCCAGCAGCCGCGGUAAUUC